UUUUUUUUUUUUUUUUGUCUUUUUUUUUGUUGUUGUUGUUGUUGUUGUUGUUGUUGCUGUUUCUUGGGCCGGUCCCGCGGCAUAUGGAGCAGCCCAAGAAAUGGCAAAAAGACAAAAAAAUAAUAAUAAUAAUAAUAAUAAUAAUAAUUUUAAAAAACUAGAGCUAUAAUAAUUUGUUAAUGGAUGAACAAUAAAAAAAUAGAUAAAGGAGAACAUCAGCAGCAUUAAAGAAGGUAGGGAGUAAAGGAAAAUAUAGAGGCUUUUAUGUGAUCAAAGGUAAGUUUUUAUAAGGUUAAAAUAUACUUUUAUAUCAAUAAGAUAUUUCAAUUAGGACUCAGAAUAAGCACAAAACAAAAAUCUAUAAUCAAUACACACAAGACAAAAAGGAGGGAGGAGUUCUCUUGUGAUGAAGUGGGUUAAGGAUCUGGCAUUGUCACUGCAGUGGCUUGGGUCACUGCUAUGGUACAGGUUCAGUCACUGGCCCAAGAACUUCCACAUGCCACAUGAGGAUGGGGGAAAAAAAAAAGAAAGAAGGGAUUCAAUGCAUAGCAGUAUAUAACAUCAAUUCAUAAAGGUAAAUAGCAAGAAAGGCAGAAAAGAAUAAAAGAACUACAAAACAGCCCCCCAAAAAAGAUGACAAUAGUUAAGUCCUUUAAUUACUUUAAGGUUAAUUAAUUUUAUUUAAAUGAUUUAAAUAAGCAAUGUUAAGUGAUUACUUCGAAUUUAAAUGGGUUAAAUUCUCCAAUCAAAAUUAUACAGUGGCUCAAUGGAUAAAAAAAGUUAGUAGAAGGAUGGAGAAAGGAUUAAUAUGGCAGAAUAGAAGGACGGAGCUCAACUUCACUCCUAAAAACAACAAAAUUACAACCAAAUGCUGAGCAAUCUUCAACCAAAUGAACCGGAAACUUUCAAAAAGAUAUCCUACUCCAGAAGACAAAGAGGAGGCCACAUCAAGAGGUAGAAGGGGUGAUUACCUGACAUAAGCAACCCCAUGCCUCCCGGGUGGGAAGACCCACAGACUGGAAACUAACUGGUUCACAGAGAUUCACCUACAGGGGUGAAAGUUCUGAGCCCCAUGUCAAGUCCCCAAGCCUAGGGAUCUGGCAGUGGGCCCCCAGAGAAUCUGGCAUUGAAGGCCAGUGGGGCAUAUGCACAGGAGCUCCACAGGACUUGGAGAAAUAGAGACCCCCAUUCUCAAAAAGGUGCACACAGACUUUCACGAGCACUGGGUCCCAGGGCAAAGCAAAGUCUCCAUAGGAAUCUGGGUCAAACCUGACUGCAGUUCUUGGAGGACCUCCUGGGAAAACAGGGGUUGAAUGUGGCUUGUUGUGCGGGAAGGGCAUUGGAAGCAAAAAUCUCAGGAAUAUACAACAGCAUGCCUUUCUCUGGAGGUGGCCAUUUUGGGAAAAUCUGGCCCCAACCAUGAGCCAGUGCUAAGAAGCCCCAGGGCAAACAACAAUCCAGGUGGGAUCACAGCUCUGCUCCUCAGUAAACAGGCUGCCUAAAGACCCCUCAGGCACACAGCUGCCUCUAAUCCCAUCCAGAGACAAAGCCCCACCCAUCAGAGGGUUUAGAAUCUGCUCCACCUACCAGUGGGCGGGCAUCAGUCCC
ensembl:lncRNA